rnacentral:rRNA from 1 species
GUUGAAUCAGGGGGGACCAUCCUCCAAGGCUAAAUACGAGCUCAUGACCGAUAGUGCAGAGUACCGUGAGGGAACGGUGAAAAGAACGCCUGACGGCGAGUGAAAGAGAACCUGAAACCGUGUGCAUACAAGCGGUAGGAGCCCGGUCCGGACCUUCGGGUCUGGAACGCGGGUGACUGCGUGCCUUUUGCAUUAUGAUCCGGCGAGUUACUCGUCACGUGCGAGGUUAAGGACCUCUGGUCCGGAGCCGAAGCGAAAGCGAGUCUGAACAGGGCGUGCUAGUACGUGGCGGUAGACCCGAAACCGAAGCGAUCUACCCAUGGCCAGGAUGAAGCUCGAGUAACAUCGAGUGGAGGUCCGAACGCGUAACUGUUGAAAAAGUUUGCGAUGAGCUGUGGGUAGGGGUGAAAGGCCAAUCAAGCUCGGAGAUAGCUGGUUCUCCCCGAAAACUAUUGAGGUAGUGCCUCGGAGCGUGUGUCGCGGAGGUAGAGCACUGAAAGGACGCGGGGGCCCACCGGCUUACCAACUCCUAUCAAACUCCGAAUGCCGUGGACAUGGACUCCGGGAGACAGCACACGCGCGAUAAUGUGCGUGUACGAGAGGGAAAGAACCCAGACCGCCGGCUAAGGCCCCGAAGUGUCGUCUCAGUGAGAAAGGAUGUGGGUGUGCACUGACAACUGGGAGGUUGGCUUAGAAGCAGCCAUUCCUUGAAAGAGUGCGUAAUAGCUCACCAGUCAAGUGCGCCUGCGCCGAUAAUGGUCGGGACUGAAAAGUCCGCCGCCGAAGCCAGGGAUUCGUCCUUCGGGACGAGUGGUAGGGGAGCGUUCCAGUAGCGGAGAAGCGGGGGUGGAAACCUUCCCGUGGAGCGGCUGGAAGUGAGGAUGCCGGAAUGAGUACGCGAUAACGGGGGUGAGAAUCCCCCGCACCGAAAGCCUAAGGUUUCCAGGGGCAGGCUCGUCCGCCCUGGGUUAGUCGGACCCUAAGUCGAGGCCGAAGGGCGUAGACGAUGGGAAUCGGGUGAAUAGUCCCGAACCACAGUGCGUGCGUUUGACCCGCAGGGGGGACGCAGGAGUGAGAGCGGAGCCGGGCGACGGUCGUUCCCGGUGCAAGGAGGUAGGCGGUCCCGGGGGAUAAAAGACCCGGGUAGCCGAGACCCGACGCCAACGAGUGGCUUAGGCCACUUGGAGUCCGCCUAAUCAGGCUGCCGAGAAAAGCCUCGGCGGGGAGUAUGCAUUGUGACCGUACCGUAAACCGACACAGGUGGGCGAGGCGAGUAGCCUCAGGUGCGCGAGUGAUCUGUGGAGAAGGAACUCGGCAAAUUGUCCCCGUAACUUCGGGAGAAGGGGAGCCUCCAGUACUUGACUGCCGCUUGCCGGCAGGAGGGGAGGGAGGCCGCAGAGAAUCGGCUCAAGCGACUGUUUAGCAAAAACACAGGUGUCUGCAAAGUCGCGCAAGACGACGUAUAGGCACUGACGCCUGCCCGGUGCCGGAAGGUUAAGAGGAGGGGUUAGUCCCGCAAGGGGCGAAGCUCUGAAUCGAAGCCCCGGUAAACGGCGGCCGUAACUAUAACGGUCCUAAGGUAGCGAAAUUCCUUGUCGGGUAAGUUCCGACCUGCACGAAUGGCGUAACGACUUGAGCGCUGUCUCCUCCACAAGCUCGGCGAAAUUGGAGUCUCGGUGAGGAUACCGAGUACCCGCGACAGGACAAAAAGACCCCGUGCACCUUUACUGCACCCUGACAUUGCUCUUCGGCACCACUUGUGUAGCAUAGGUGGGAGGCUGUGAGACGGAGGCGCCAGCUUCCGUGGAGCCACAAGUGAAAUACCACCCUGGUGAUGUUGGAGACCUAACCUCGUCCCUUGAAGCAGGGACAGGGACCGUGUCAGGCGGGCAGUUUGACUGGGGCGGUCGCCUCCUAAAAGGUAGCGGAGGCGCGCAAUGGUUCCCUCAGCGCGGUCGGCAAUCGCGCGAAAUGAGCGUAAACGCAUAAGGGAGCUUGACUGCGAGACCAACAAGUCGAGCAGGUGCGAAAGCAGGCCUUAGUGAUCCGGCGGCACCUUGUGGAAGGGCCGUCGCUCAACGGAUAAAAGGUACCCCGGGGAUAACAGGCUAAUCUUGCCCAA